rnacentral:rRNA from 1 species
GAUGAACGCUGGCGGCGUGCCUAAUACAUGCAAGUCGAGCGAACGGACGAGAAUCUUGCUUCUCUGAUGUUAGCGGCGGACGGUUGAGUAACACGUGGAUAACCUACCUAUAAGACUGGGAUAACUUCGGGAAACCGGAGCUAAUACCGGAUAAUAUUUUGAACCGCAUGGUUCAAAAGUGAAAGACGUUCUUGCUGUCACUUAUAGAUGGAUCCGCGCUGCAUUAGCUAGUUGGUAAGGUAACGGCUUACCAAGGCAACGAUGCAUAGCCGACCGGAGGGGGGGAUGGGCGACAAUGAAAGGGAGACACGGCCGAGAAGACGCCGGGGGGAAGCAGUAGGGAGGGGUACGCAAUGGGGGAAGGCAGGACGGAGCAACGACGCGGGGGGGAUGAAGGGCGUCGGAGGGUAAAAAACUGUUAUUAGGGAAGAAGAAAGGUGUAAGUAACGGGGCACAGCUGAAGGGAACCGAGCAGAAAGCCACGGCUAACUACGUG